GUCGAACUUCCCAUUUGCAGCCUCAUGUUAGUGCUGAUUGAAUUUUGGAUUUGGGAUCAUUUUGGAUUUUUGAGUUUCAAGGUAAGAAUACUCAAUCUGUAUUUGUGUGAUAUCCAAGUGCUGCUGGUUAGUAGGUAGCCAGGUUCUUAGUCUGAAGCUUAGGGAAGGACCCGGUUGUAUGUCCUGCUCCUGGGCACACAUUCCUUUCUGAAGGAGACCUACUAAGUGAUGGAAUGGGGAAAAUCACGUAUUUCUCACUCUAGAGGCUCAUAAGUCACAAGGGACAAAGGCUGUGUGUACAAAUGUCAGACCGCCUCUAAAACGUGGAUGAACUCCAGACCCCCUCCUACCCAACUUUGGAGUCACCUCUGAAACCAGGACAGACCCUUCUCAAGGUGAAACACUGAAGUAGAGUCUUAUAGAAUAAGACAGAAGCAAAACACUUCAGGAAACUCUGAGAAUAAAUUAACUUGCUAAAUCGUAACAGUAUCUUGAAAAAUCUUUCUUUUCCUUUUGAAAUUGGUCUACCUAUACAACUAAGUAUAGGUAGCAGCAGAUCCCCGUCAUAGGAGGUAGGAACCAGCACCAGCCAGGUAGGACUGUGCCUCUACCAGGUGACCUACAGACAGUACUGGAGGCAGCUAUAUCUGACAGUCUGGGCUUCAGGAGUGCGAUGUCCUUACCAAUUCUACAUGAAGAGCCAGAAAAUAUUCUAACAGGUUUCUGAGUCUUAUUGGAUGAAAGGGCUCAUUUCAUCAGAGACCCUGAAAAGCAAGUCGCCCCCAAAACUCACCCCUAAAUUAAGCCUACUUUCUUCUUUCAGAUUUUCACAGAAGAUUAAAACUAUCAGAGUGAUUGUGAAAGCUGGUCCGUGGAUGGCAGUAGGAAUGAUGUAGCAGGUCUUUGUCAUGUGACUCUGCAUGAAGCCCAUUGGCAGAAAGGAUCUGGGUGAAUCAGAAGGCAAAGCACUUUAACAUACUGCAGCCAUGUGUAGCUUGAUCUCUUCCCUGAGCUCCACAGUAAUCUUUUUUUCUUUUCCUUCUACAAAAAAGUGUCAGUCUAUGGCUUACGAGAUAUGUCUUAACAUAACCUAGGAAGAAAUUUUAAAAAACAACUCUUGUUUCAGGACUGAAAGUUAUCCGGAAAACUGGAGAAACGCUGACUGUCACUGUAAGGAAAUGAAAAACAGGAGGUGACAUGUUUGUGUUGGGCAGAUGGGAAGUGGCUUUCUGUAUUUCCAUAGGUAAUUAUGACAUCAUCAAGGAAAUGUGAGAAAGCCAUUAGCAUUGCACAAAUGCCUGCUGAUCUUGUUUCUGAAGGUUGUUCAGUUGAACUCAACCACAGUUGUACGUACACUUUUUCAAAGUAUGUGUGAUGUUUUAGUUUUGUUAAUUUGUUUUGAGUUAAAAUAUGUGAUCCCUCUUAAAUAUUCCAUUUCUAAAUCACCUCUAAAAUUAAGACUAAAGUAAUGAAUUCACAUAAUGCUGGCAUUUCAGAAAAUAGCUAUAUUAUUGUUAAUAGUGGAAUUACGAGAAAUAAGUCCUUCUGUAGUAAGCAGUACCUAUCGUCAAUAUUUAUUUGAAUAGCUUACUGACUAUCUGGAGGAUGUGUGUUUUCUUGCAAGCCUAGGAUGCUAGAAAAAUAAGGAAGCAUUGUGCUUCCUUUCUCUGGCAAGAGCAGUGUAUUUGCUCUCUGUAGGGACCUGUUGGUCACUGAGCAAAUCACUGUUCUACGUAUAACCUUGAUGAUUUACAUGAUUCUCUAAAAAGCACACACCCAGGGUUUUGUUCCAAAUGCAUAAUAUUAGCAAACAACCUGUCUAAUAAACUUGAAAUGUUGUCCCAGAAAAUGCAGAGAAAGGGAAGAUAUAUGGAUAAUUUAGGUAGUUUUUCUCCUUGAAUUUGGAGUCCUUCUGUUUCAACUCUGCUUGAAAGUUCGAAUCUUGUUCUUAGGUUCAAUUAAUGAAUGCAUGAAUGGGAAUGAGGUCAUUCCUCCCCCUAGCUUUUUAGAGACAUAGGUGAAUUACUCUUGAGAUAGUCUGUGUGGGUUAAAUGAGCUUGCUCCUUUAGCCCUAAAAAAAAAAAAAAAAAUUAGGUUCUAUUUCCAUAUGGAUCUCUUAGGGUCACAUUAAAAAAUGCAAUUUAAUGGUACCUGCAUAACCUGGCUGGAUGGCAUAGAGAACACUCCAAGAGAAAGAGAUGAUGAAAAGACCACAUAACUUUACAGGUGAGUGACUUCACAUGACACCUUUACGUGCCACCAAAUUGUAUACAGGGCUCUUUCUACAAUAGCUAGCAUGUAUGUGCUUACCAAGUGCCAGGUCCAGUUAUAAAUGCUUUAGCUCAUCAAGUCAUCACAGAAAACCCACAACAGAGGCUAGAGAGGUCAAGUCACUGGCCCCAAAUCACACAGUAGUUGGCAUAAGGUACAUCUGGAGGAGGAAGCCAGGCAAUAUAAAGCCAAGUCCUUGCUCAUAAAAAUGCUAAAUUUGGGAUGGGCUUGUGACUCAAUGGUAGAGCACUAGCCCAGCACUUGUGAGGCCCUGGGUUCAAACAAAUAAAUAAAGGUAUUGUUUCCAACUACAACUAAAAAAUAAAUGUUUUAAAAAUAAUGUUAAACUCAGUGGCUUCUAUGCCAGCCCACCUUACUCUUGUCCAUCUACCUCCUUCUCUCUCUUUUAUUACUUGUACACAUAGACAAAUGAUCGUUGAGUAGUUCAUUCUAUCGCGGGGAACCAGCACCAACUCUUAUAAACCACAUUGAUUCCUGCAUCUGAACAUGCAUAUCCCAGACUUUGGAGAAUGUCAGUCAUACAAUCUUUGCAUUGGACAGUGAGUCCUGAGACAAAGUGAUGGGAUGGGAGGUGUCAGAGGUGGCCAGAGCUGGAAGCCCAGGUUCCAACCUGGACUCUUCUCCAGGUGAGUUGGUGAUCAUAGGCAAUUCAGGAGUUGACACAUCUCUCUGUUCCCUUCAGACUCAAACAUUCUAUAAUCCCAUGGUACAAGGUUUGAGAGACUUGGACACGGUAUUUUUAAAAAGCAGGUGGCAGAUAAAGAAGAAUGAGCACUACAUUUGACAGCUAAGUUAUGUUUCCGCCUGUUUCCUGACUACAAAUCCAUCUCCCCCCAUGGAUAAUCAUUGGGCCGAACUGGUGAAAUCUUAUUUGAGUGAUAGAACUUGGGAAACUCUUCUUAAAUGCUUAGUGAUUAGUUUGGUAUUUGAAGAAUGCUAAAAAGAAACAUAAAAUCUAAUAAAUCUGAUUUGAGGAUUUAUACAUGAAAGACUUUCCUAUAGGCCUUAAUAAUAGAUGGGACAGUACUUUGAAAAUGAAGGUUUUAGCUGGUUGUAGUAGCUCACAUCUGUAAUCCCAGCAAUUUGGGAGGCCGAGGCAGGAGGAUCACAAGUAUGAGACCAACCUAUGCAACUUGUUAAGACCCUGUCUCAAAAUAAAAAUAAAUUAAAAAAAAAAUAAAAGGUGUGGGGGUGUAGCUCAGUGAUAGAGUAUCCUAGGGUUCAAUCCACAGACUGAUUAAAAAAAAAAAAGAAAGAAAGAAAAUGUGGUUGUUAAACCAUAUCUUUGCAAACUAUUUAGCUUCUGUAUAUUCUUCUGAUUUUAAAAUGAUCCAAUGUGUCAUUAUCUUUCAAUACCAGGCAAAUAUUACAGUAGUUUCAAUAAGAGAACAUAUUUUACCUUUAAACAUUACCACAUGACACUAUUCUUAUUCAUUUAUUUAUUUUGGGGGAGAUACUGGGAAUUGAAUCCAGGGGUGCUUAACCAUAGAGCCACAUCCCCAACUCUUUUAAUUUUUUUGAGACAGGGUCUCGCUAAGUUGCUUAGGGCUCCACUAAAUUGCUGAGACUGGCUUUGAACUCAUGAUCCUCCUGUCUCAGCUUCCCAAGCUGCUGGGAUUACAGAUAUGUGCCACCAUGCCCAGCUCUUCUAAGUUUUGAGUCUACUUCAUUCAGUAUGCAACUUAUUACUAAACCAGUAAGUUCCAAUUCUGGAGAAAGCAAUCAUUAAAAAAAAAAAAUGAGGGAACUAUACAUUCAAUCCUUACAUUCUGGUGCAGUUCUAAAGAUAUGAUUAAAUUUAUAGUUCUAUUACUCUUUAACUCACAAGCUUACCAGCAAUAGCCAUGGUCUCUUAUUGUUCUUCAAAUAAGAAUUACUUAUGAUUUUAACAUCAAAGAGUAUUAAAUUUACAAAUGAGAAUAACUUUUAAAACGAGUAUUGAAUUUUGGUAUAGAAUCUUAUUAAAGUCCUACACAAAAGCACCAGAUGGAAGAACUUGAAUAUAACAGUUGGGGUCUCUGGGCGUCUCAUCAAUAUCUGAAACUGCACUCAUCAUUAUUGGAACAGUUUCAUCAAAUGAUUGGGGUGUUAGCUGGUUUUAUUCCUAAGAUGGUACCUAUAUCCUGAAAAGACAAGUUCCUUCUUCUAAUGUAGAGGCUCUGGCCUUUUGACCCAAAAAUUCCUUUCAGAGAAAGCAUACAUGGAUCUGAGCGUCAGGGUGAACACAUAGUUUGGAGACAAUGUCCAGGAGCCUGCCUGAGCUUGAACUCUGAAAAGAAUUGUGAAGCUGCAUCCUGUCAGAGCUUCCUCUCAUUCCUGUAUUUCUUUUUCCCUGUUGCGCCUUAUUGGCAGCAAAUGGACUAUUCUUUGGUACUGUUUCUCUACGUUCUUUCCCACAAUCUUUUUUUUUUUUAAUUCUAUCUCCCUCAUCUACUUUGGUACCUUUUUUUCCAAGGCACUCACCUGACUUUUCAUUCUCCCCAUGAGUCUGUUCAUCCCAACAUCUCUUUUGUUUCCAAUCUAUGAAAAGAAGCAAAUAACAAAACUGCAAGAAAUAAUUCCUGGUCCCUCUGUGAGAGGGAAGCUUCGCUUCAUCUGUAUUAUUGGAUGUGCACUUUUCUGCGUGGUGAAGCAAGUCAGUAUUCACAUCUGAUUUAACUGUGGAGAGAAAUCAUGUCUCUGCAGCUGAUUCAGAGAGAAAGCAAAGGAACGUCUUCUGACUUUCCCACCCAACUAAUCCACUGGCACACACACACACAGUGGACUUGGACACUGGUUAGGCACUGAGGAGACAGCCCUACAGCCAAAGUCUAGUGGGGAAUUAGAGAUGCAAACAAAUAUCAACAGUUCAAUGAGAUAUGAUAUGGGCUGAUGAGCACUGAUUUGAGAAUUUGCAAAAUAAAGCAAGCAAAUAUGUUUCUUUGCUGAGAGGAGAUGAUUGCAGAAAAGAGUUGACCUUUAAAAAGAGACUUGGAAAAAACAACAAAGAAGAAACCCAUAGAAGGAGCUCUGCUGACAGAAAGAUAUGGACACCCAGAAACUACACGGGUAACCAGAUGCAGUGGUGCAUGCCUUAAUCCCCGCUACUUGGGAGGCUGAGACAGGAGGAUUGCAAGUUCAAGGCCAACCUAUGAAACGUAGGCCUUUUCUCAAAAAUAAAAGGAAAAGGGCUGGGAUAUACCCCAUCAGUAGAGGGUUCGUGGGUUGAAUGCCUCAAAGGCACAAGUCAUGGCUGGGAGAUAGGGUAUAAUUUGGGGUGGCAAGAGACAAAGCUGAAAAACAUGGCAAACAGGACUUCAUGUGUUUUUUGCCUGCUGAUGUGGAUAUUAUCCUAUAGGUGGGGAGAAAGCACAGGAGAAUUUUAAACACUCAAAAUACAAUGGACAAACUUGUGUAUGCUUGGAAAAAGGAAACUCUGUCAAGCCGUUGGGAGGAAAAUUGGAGAUACACUGAUCUCCUGUGAAGGUAAAAGAUGGUGUGAGCAUAAAUAAAAGGAGCAAAAACAAGGAAUAAACAUGAGAGAUGGUUUGAAACUAGAAGGGUUUUGGAGAUCUAACACAUAUUGGAGGAGGGGCCUCAGAAGAGAAAGUGUCAAAGAUAACCUCACAAGUUAUUUUUUUUUAACGAUUGUCUUGAGUUUCCAAAUAAAUGGAUAAUAAUAUUACAAAAAUAUGCAUACAAGUCAAAAAGUGAGCUUGGCAAGGGAAAGUUAUAUAUGCGUUUCAGUUACACAUCUUCCCUUAGGGAUGUCUAUCUGGACAUGGGUACGCUUGCAGAAAUAAGUGAUAUCAAGUUCAGGGAAGAAAUGCAGAUUUUGGAAUCACUGGAUAGAGGCAGCAAAGGAAGUUACAAAUUUGAGAAGACACCCCAGGAGAAAUACCUAGAGCAGAGAGAAACGAAAACCUAAGUUGAAAUCUUGAGAAAUGGCCAAUAGUCAGGGCAAGGAUCAAGCAAAGGGGAUUAGAAAGACAGAAAGAUAGGAAGAGACAUUGAGGUGGGGUGGUGUUGCAACAUCAAAGGGAGAAAGAUUUUUGGGAAGGGAGUGGACAACAAUGUUAGAGGCUUAAGGGCGGUCAAAUAAGAUAAGGAAUGCAAAUGUCAAGUGGAUUUCAAAAUUGGGAAUUUAUAGGUAACCUUACCACGAUGAGCUUCAGAAAAGUUGGUGGAGAGAAAUAUCAGAGGGAUGAAGAAAGUGUGGGACUUGAAGUCAAGGUGAUUCGGAUGUAUUCCUUUUGAGAAUUCCCUUGAGAACCCCUGCACUCUACAAACUACUGAGAACCCCAAGAAGAUUUUGUUUAUGUGGGUUACAUCUGUUAACAUUAACCAUAGAAUUAAAACCGAGAACUUACUAUUUUAUCCAUUUAAAAUAAAUCUAUUAUACUCAACAUAAAUACCAUUUUUUUGUGUGUGGGUGAAAAUACCUGUUUUCCAACACAAAAUUGGUAUUUGCAAUGCUACAGGCUCAGUUUAUAAAGCAUGUUGCUAAUCUAUAGGUAAUUGUGCAUUGACCUUUUUCAUGAUAUGAAACCUAAACAAUCCGCUCAGGUAUCUCAAUCCAUCUUCUGCCCAGUUGUGCUAGGGCAAUGGUUAGGCUGCAGAAAAGUCAAAGAAAGUGUCCAGAGACAUGGGAGACAUAUGGUUUAAUGGGGAAAGCUACGAGAGAUCAGAGACUGCCCCAAGAGGAGUUCAGUGGUAACUGGCAACAGACAGCACCUCUGUCCCUCAUGGUGCUUUGCUGAACAGCACCUCUUCUCCCUCCCUGUGUUUUAUCCAGUGGCAACCCAAAGGACGAGUGACACAUAUGCUUUCCACGGUGCCCCCAGUUCCACGUGCAUCCCCACUCAGAGAGGGGCUGUACAUGUCAGGCUGCAGAAGCAGUGACUUCAUCAGCAUCAGCUUGAUUACCGUCCCAAGGAGCAACUGUCCUGGUGUGCAUGCAAGGAAGUAGCUUUCUACAGAUAACACUACCUUGCCCUAGUGCCGUGUGCACAAGAGAAAGCCAUUGUCCUUUAAGAUAAUACGUAUCUGGACUUUCCAGCUCAGACUUGCUCUCAUUGUUCCUUUAACUUAGGUAGGUUUGCAGGGAAUAGAAAGGAGAUAUUCAGGUAUCUUACUGUCCCUCUUUGCUGUAGGGAUGAUACAAGGCUGGUGCAGGAAUUGACUGCAAAUAGUCACCAGGAAACACUUUGGGUGAUGCAAAUGUUCUGCAGCUGAAUGGUGGUGAUAUUUGGAUAACCACAUACAUUUACAAAAAAAGUUAUUGAAUUAUACUCUUCAAAUGGAUGUACUUUAUGACAUAAAAAUAAUAAUGCAAUUAACUUGUUUUUGUUUUGUUUUUUUAAGGGAAGGAAGCCUGGAGACAUGGCUGAGCACUAGGACAGUUGCCUAGCAUGUGCAAAGCCCUGGGUCAGUCUUCAGUACUGCAAAAAAGAAAGAGGUGGGGAGGGAGAGAGAGAGAGGAGAGAAGGAAAGGAUAAUAAAAUUAUAUGGUACCAUUUUUUCCCACAGAGAAAAAAAUGGCAAAACCUCUUGAUUUCAAGAAAAAUAGCCUCAAUUUUUAAACUUAUAUUCACAAAUAUGAGAGAAGAGAGAGCAAACAAUUAAGUAUCAUUGCUUGAUAAGCAUUUACAACUUGGUACUUUCAUCAUCUCAUGAAUAUAUCUCAAGCACCCAAAGCUUAUUAUUUUUUAAAUCAUUUUUAAAAAUUAAAUUCACAGACCACACAGUUCAUCUACUUGAAGAAUACAAUUCAAUGUUC
rnacentral:lncRNA from 1 species